rnacentral:lncRNA from 1 species
UUCUUAUGUUUCCUCUGGUUUUGGCAUUGAGCAGAACAAAGCCUCUUUUGUCACUAAGUUUAUCUAGGGAGCAGUGUUCUGCAUGGACUGGAUGAUGCUACUUUGGUGACAGGCUCCAUUUUCACUCCUACCAUUUUUCAGUAUCUCCUAGACCUUCACAGGUGCCUCAUCCCACUGAUUGAUAAACCCAAAACAUGAUGAGGAACAUAAUCUCUUGUCAUACUACACGCACUAGUGUUUUCAACAAGGAGGUAAACGGAAAUGAAAAAGCAAAGAGCCUGCAAAAGUGUGAUUCUUCACAGUCUAGCUCAGUUUGUUAUUAACACCUUCCCUCUCCCUAUAUGCAGGCUAAGUUGGACACUAUAGGUCAUGCUGUUCUACUGCCUGUGUCUGCAGAAGUUGGAAAAGUGACUGUCAAGGAUGGCCUGUACGCUAGAUAUAAUGAGACCUCCCAAGUAAGAUACCCUGAUCACAUCCUACAGACAGUGGGCAAAAAACUUGAUCAGGUAAGAAACAGCAGCUAUUGAACCUGCCCUGUGUGAAGCUGGCUUAUAAGAAUAGGAAAU